AGGGAGUUCAAUGUUCUAAACCCUCCACCCCCUAGAACGUGCUUUUCAUAAGAAAUGGAGUCCAACUUCUUCUGUAGUGACUUUCCAAUUCUCAGGCUUGUUAACAAAAUGCCCCAGUGGCCCCCCAACAUGCUCUCAAGUAACUAGUCCCUGCAGGUCUAGCGAGAAUCUUUACAGAGACACAUUGUCUAACUCGUCACUCAGCUGUGCUACAUCUAUAGAACCUCCUCUCAGAAUUCCCACCCAAGAAAUGAGAAAGAGCCAAGUCCCCUGCUUUAUAAAGGGCCCUGAUCAAGCCGUUAUCCAAUCAGCUUCUUUGUUUAUCUGCACAAUAUGCC